rnacentral:rRNA from 1 species
ACGGGAGGCAGCAGCUAAGAAUAUUCCGCAAUUGACGAAAGUCUGACGGAGCGACGCCGCGUGGAUGAUGAAGGUCGGAAGAUUGUAAAAUCCUUUUGGACAUAAGGAAUAAGGAGAGUGAGAGAAACGCUUUCCGGUGACUGUAGUGUCAGAAUAAGCAACGGCUAAUUACGUGCCAGCAGCCGCGGUAACACGUAAGUUGCGAGCGUUGUUCGGAAUUAUUGGGCGUAAAGGGCAUGUAGGCGGUUUUGCAAGCUUGAUGUGAAAGGCAGGAGCUUAACUCCUGGACUGCGUUGAGAACUGCAUGACUAGAGUCACUGAGGGGCAAUCAGAAUUCCUGGUGUAGGGGUGAAAUCUGUAGAUAUCAGGAAGAAUACCAAUGGCGAAGGCAGGUUACCAGCAGAUGACUGACGCUGAGGUGCGAAGGUGCGGGGAGCAAACAGGAUUAGAUACCCUGGUA